GCCAGCAUGGCAUAGUGGUUUGAUUGCGACUCUGGAAGCCAGGGUUCGAUUCCCAGCUCUGCCA